GAUGAACGCUGCGGCGUGCCUAAUACAUGCAAGUCGAGCGAACAGAUGAGGAGCUUGCUCCUCUGACGUUAGCGGCGGACGGGUGAGUAACACGUGGAUAACCUACCUAUAAGACUGGGAUAACUUCGGGAAACCGGAGCUAAUACCGGAUAAUAUAUUGAACCGCAUGGUUCAAUAGUGAAAGACGGUUUUGCUGUCACUUAUAGAUGGAUCCGCGCCGCAUUAGCUAGUUGGUAAGGUAACGGCUUACCAAGGCAACGAUGCGUAGCCGACCUGAGAGGGUGGUGGGCAAAAUUGGAAAGGAGAUACGGACAAGACGACUACGGGAGGCAGCAGUGGGGAAGCGUGGGCAAUGGGCGAAAGCCUGACGGAGCAAGGCAGAGUGGGUGAAGAAGGUUGUCGGAUCGUAAAACACUGUUGUUGGGGAAGAAAAAAAGUGGAGGUAACAAUGCAGGGCUUGACGGGACCUAAACAAAAAGCAACGGCUAACUACGUG
rnacentral:rRNA from 1 species